rnacentral:rRNA from 1 species
AGUGAACGCUGGCGGUAGGCCUAACACAUGCAAGUCGAACGGCAGCACAGUAAGAGCUUGCUCUUACGGGUGGCGAGUGGCGGACGGGUGAGGAAUUCAUCGGAAUCUACUUUUUCGUGGGGGAUAACGUAGGGAAACUUACGCUAAUACCGCAUACGACCUACGGGUGAAAGCAGGGGAUCUUCGGACCUUGCGCGAUUGAAUGAGCCGAUGUCGGAUUAGCUAGUUGGCGGGGUAAAGGCCCACCAAGGCGACAAUCCGUAGCUGGUCUGAGAGGAUGAUCAGCCACACUGGAACUGAGACACGGUCCAGACUCCUACGGGAGGCAGCAGUGGGGAAUAUUGGACAAUGGGCGCAAGCCUGAUCCAGCCAUACCGCGUGGGUGAAGAAGGCCUUCGGGUUGUAAAGCCCUUUUGUUGGGAAAGAAAAGCAGCAGGUUAAUACCCCGCUGUUCUGACGGUACCCAAAGAAUAAGCACCGGCUAACUUCGU